UACGGGGGGUGCGAGCGUUGUCCGGAAUCACUGGGCGUAAAGGGCGCGUAGGUGGUUUGAUAAGGGUGUGGUGAAAGUCCGGGGCUCAACUCCGGAUCUGCCGUGCCGACUGUCAAACUCGAGGGCUGUAGAGGCAGACGGAAUUCCGGGUGUAGCGGUGGAAUGCGUAGAGAUCCGGAGGAAGACCGGUGGCGAAGGCGGUCUGCUGGGCAGUUUCUGACACUGAGGCGCGACAGCGUGGGGAGCAAACGGG
rnacentral:rRNA from 1 species